UAUGAGAUCAACGUCUUUGUUGUUAUACUUUUAUAUCCUAAAUAUGAAUUUCCAAGGCAGUUUUUUGUUUUUGUCAACAGUUGUUUUGGCUGUGCUGUCAGCAACUUCAGGUGUUAAUGGACAAAGAGACCCAGCAGCUCCUGCAGCAUCAAGAC